GUGGACGCCAGUCUGCAUGGAGCCGACCUUGAAAUACCACCCUUUAAUGUUUGAUGUUCUAACGUGGACCCGUGAUCCGGGUUGCGGACAGUGUCUGGUGGGUAGUUUGACUGGGGCGGUCUCCUCCUAAAGAGUAACGGAGGAGCACGAAGGUUGGCUAAUCCUGGUCGGACAUCAGGAGGUUAGUGCAAUGGCAUAAGCCAGCUUGACUGCGAGCGUGACGGCGCGAGCAGGUGCGAAAGCAGGUCAUAGUGAUCCGGUGGUUCUGAAUGGAAGGGCCAUCGCUCAACGGAUAAAAGGUACUCCGGGGAUAACAGGCUGAUACCGCCCAAGAGUUCAUAUCGACGGCGGUGUUUGGCACCUCGAUGUCGGCUCAUCACAUCCUGGGGCUGAAGUAGGUCCCAAGGGUAUGGCUGUUCGCCAUUUAAAGUGGUACGCGAGCUGGGUUUAGAACGUCGUGAGACAGUUCGGUCCCUAUCUGCCGUGGGCGCUGGAGAACUGAGGGGGGCUGCUCCUAGUACGAGAGGACCGGAGUGGACGCAUCACUGGUGUUCGGGUUGUCAUGCCAAUGGCACUGCCCGGUAGCUAAAUGCGGAAGAGAUAAGUGCUGAAAGCAUCUAAGCACGAAACUUGCCCCGAGAUGAGUUCUCCCUGAGACUUAGAGUCUCCUGAAGGAACGUUGAAGACGACGACGUUGAUAGGCCGGGUGUGUAAGCGCAGCGAUGCGUUGAGCUAACCGGUACUAAUGAACCGUGAGGCUUAACCUUACA
rnacentral:rRNA from 4 species